rnacentral:rRNA from 1 species
AUUGAACGCUGGCGGCAUGCUUAACACAUGCAAGUUGAACGGCAUCACGAUUAGACUUGUCUAGUUGGUGGCGAGUAGCGAACGGGUGAGUAACGCGUAGGAAUAUAUCUUAGGGUGGGGGAUAACUUGGGGAAACUCAGGCUAAUACCGCAUGAAAUCUAGGGAUGAAAGCUGGGGACUCGAGAGGGCCUGGCGCCUUAGGGAUAGCCUGCGUCCGAUUAGUUAGUUGGUGGGGUAAAGGCUUACCAAGGCGACGAUCGGUAGCUGGUCUGAGAGGACGAUCAGCCGCACUGGCACUGCGACACGGCCCGGGCUCCUGCAGGAGGCAGCAGUGGGGAAUUUUGGACAAUGUGCGCAAGCCUGAUCCAGCCAUGCCGCGUGCAGGAUGAAGGCCUUCGGGUUGUAAACUGCUUUUGUACGGAACGAAACGGCUCUUUCUAAUAAAGAGGGCUAAUGACGGUACCGUAAGAAUAAGCACCGGCUAACUACGUGCCAGCAGCCGCGGUAACAC